UACGGGGGGGGCAAGCGUUGUUCGGAAUUACUGGGCGUAAAGGGCUCGUAGGCGGCCAACUAAGUCAGACGUGAAAUCCCUCGGCUUAACCGGGGAACUGCGUCUGAUACUGGAUGGCUUGAGAUUGGGAGAGGGAUGCGGAAUUCCAGGUGUAGCGGUGAAAUGCGUAGAUAUCUGGAGGAACACCGGUGGCGAAGGCGGUUCUCUGGGCAUUACCUGACGCUGAGGAGCGAAAGUGUGGGGAGCGAACAGG
rnacentral:rRNA from 1 species